GACGAACGCUGGCGGCGUGCUUAACACAUGCAAGUCGAACGGAAAGGCCCUGCUUGCAGGGUACUCGAGUGGCGAACGGGUGAGUAACACGUGGGUGAUCUGCCCUGCACUUCGGGAUAAGCCUGGGAAACUGGGUCUAAUACCGGAUAGGAGCCAUUUUUAGUGUGAUGGUUGGAAAGUUUUUUCGGUGUAGGAUGAGCUCGCGGCCUAUCAGCUUGUUGGUGGGGUAAUGGCCUACCAAGGCGGCGACGGGUAGCCGGCCUGAGAGGGUGGACGGCCACAUUGGGACUGAGAUACGGCCCAGACUCCUACGGGAGGCAGCAGUGGGGAAUAUUGCACAAGGGGCGCAAGCCUGAUGCAGCGACGCCGCGUGGGGGAUGACGGCCUUCGGGUGGUAAACUCCUUUCGCUAGGGACGAAGCUUUUUGUGACGGUACCUAGAUAAGAAGCACCGGCUAACUACG
rnacentral:rRNA from 1 species